rnacentral:lncRNA from 1 species
CUCUUUCUCUUCCCCACAAGUUCCUGGCCAGCCUCUUCCACUCUUCCUCUCUCCUCUCUCUUUCUGUCCCUGUCCUUUCUCUCCUUCUACCCCUCCUCCAUGCCCCCUUCCAGUCCACCAAUAAAAUUCCUUUUAUAUUAGGUCUAUCACAUGGCUUGACUGUUCAUGGGAACACCUUGGCAGGGACCGCUAAGGUAUUCCCUCCCGCCACAUUAUAAGGAAUCUCACAAAACACAGCAGAUGUUGCUGAUGCAAGGGACACACUUUGAGAUAUCCUAGCAGCAAGCCCCACUUUCCAGUAACUGAAGUCAUCUGCAGACACUGAGACCGUCCUUCGGAGGUGGGGCAGCUGAGAACCAUUGAAUACGGGAAGGCGUCUGAAGGCUCGUGGAAGCAGGGAUGCAGAAACACAUCCUCAUCACCUCCCGUCUCGCCUUCUCCCUCAGGAGAGCUAGAAGUACAGUCCUCCCAGCAAGGUCCAGGGAGAAAGAGCUUGGAGCAGUGGAAGCUGAAAGUGCCCUGGCCAGUGAGAUUCUUUAGCAGCUAAGCAACAGGCUGAAGUAGCUUCUGUGUUGGGCAAGGAGGCUUCUAACCAUCUGAGCCUACCAGUGGAAAAUCAAGCAGACCCGUAAAGCAAGACCUUACAUCCCACAGGCGUGGAGAAUUGGGUUAUGGCACUAAGCAAUGGAUUCCCAUCAGCCAAGGAAAAAAAAUGAUGCUGAUGAAUUUUAAAGUUCAUGUAGUCGGAGAUGUCCUGAUGCCUGCCACAAUGAACUUGACUGAUACAACCCAACAAGCAGAUGCUUGGUGUCUGGCCUGAAGCAUUGUUUAGCGGGAUGAGAGAUUAUAGGGCUCUUUACAAGUGAUCACCUACCAUGUAUGUGGGUAAAGGUUGACUACACAACCACCGUUCUGUAAAAAUGUGUUAAUCACAAGAAACAUACCACAAACCAUCAGAAAGAUUUGGCCUAGAUGUCCUGGAGAUAUUGGCACAACAAACAAGCAAACAAAACUCCAAAACAAAAGAAAUUCACAAACAAACAACAAGACCAAUGGCAUGUUUCAGUCCGUUGACUUUUUACCAGACAAGAAAUAAAAACUCUUCCUGGCUUGGGUUCUUCUUGCUUAUAUUAUUGGUGGGACACAUUUCUUUAGUAUUUAUUCUUUCCUUUCGUUUUUACAACCAGUCUCCCUUGAUAGGAAGGCUGAGGAGUAGCCCAAGCACACACAGC